UGAUGACGAGACGCUAAGGCGUUGAAGCAGUGUAUGUCAGACUUCCAAGAAAAGCUCGCAAUGUCACUAAUAAAAAAUGCCUGUACCAUAACCGACACAGGUGGGUAGGUAGAGUAUACUAAGGGGCGCGAGAUAACUCUCUCUAGGAACUCGGCAAAAUGACUCCGUAACUUCGGGAGAAGGAGUGCCUUAUUUAUAAGGUUGCAAUAACAAGAUCCAAGCAACUGUUUAUCAAAAACACAGGUCUCCGCUAAGUCGUAAGACGAUGUAUGGGGGCUGACGCCUGCCCAGUGCCAGAAGGUUAAAGAAGUUGGUUAGUGUAUGCGAAGCUGAUGACUGAAGCCCUGGUGAACGGCGGCCGUAACAAUAACGGUCCUAAGGUAGCGAAAUUCCUUGUCGGGUAAGUUCCGACCCGCACGGAAGGCGUAAUGAUUUGGAUACUGUCUCGGAGAGAGGCUCGGUGAAAUAGACCUGUCUGUGAAGAUGCGGACUACCUGCACCAGGACAGAAAGACCCUAUGAAGCUUUACUGUAACUUGAAAUUGGAAUUGGACUUUGCUUGCGCAGUAUAGGUGGGAAGCGUUGAAAAUAUUCUUGCGGGAGUAUUGGAGCUAUCAGUGAGAUACCACUCUUGUAAUGUUAGAUGUCUAACUUUGAACCAUAAUCUGGUCAAAGAACAGUUUCAGGUGGGCAGUUUGACUGGGGCGGUCGCCUCCCAAAUGGUAACGGAGGCGUACAAAGGUUUCCUCUGAACGGAUAGAAAUCGUAUCUAGAGUGUAAAGGCAUAAGGAAGCUUGACUGUGAGACCUACAAGUCGAGCAGGGACGAAAGUCGGUCUUAGUGAUCUGACGGUACUGAGUGGAAAGGCCGUCACUCAACGGAUAAAAGUUACUCUAGGAUAACAGGCUGAUCUCCCCCAAGAGUUCACAUCGACGGGGAGGUUUGGCACCUCGAUGUCGGCUCAUCGCAUCCUGGGGCGGUAGUACGUCCCAAGGGUUGGGCUGUUCGCCCAUGAAAGCGGUACGCGAGCUGGGUUCAGAACGUCGUGAGACAGUUCGGUCCAUAUCCGGUGUAGGCGCUAGAAUAUUGAGAGGAGCCUUCUUUAGUACGAGAGGACCGAGAAGGACACACCGCUGGUGUACCAGUUAUCGUGCCAACGGUAAACGCUGGGUAGCUAUGUGUGGAGUGGAUAACCGCUGAAAGCAUCUAAGUGGGAAGCCCACCUCGAGAUGAGUAUUC
rnacentral:rRNA from 1 species